rnacentral:rRNA from 1 species
CGGCGGACGGGUGAGUAACACGUGGGCAACCUGCCCUGCAGAUCCGGAUAACUCCGGGAAACCGGUGCUAAUACCGAAUAGUUUGCGGCCUCUCCUGAGGCUGCACGGAAGGACGGUUUCGGCUGUCACUACAGGAUGGGCCCGCGGCGCAUUAGCUAGUUGGUGGGGUAAUGGCCCACCAAGGCGACGAUGCGUAGCCGACCUGAGAGGGUGAUCGGCCACACUGGGACUGAGACACGGCCCAGACUCCUACGGGAGGCAGCAGUAGGGAAUCUUCCGCAAUGGACGCAAGUCUGACGGAGCAACGCCGCGUGAAUGACGAAGGUUUUCGGAUCGUAAAACUCUGUUGUGAGGGAAGAACACGUACCAGCUAACUACUGGUACCUUGACGGUACCUCACCAGAAAGCCACGGCUAACUACGUGCCAGCAGCCGCGGUAAUACGUAGGUGGCAAGCGUUGUCCGGAAUUAUUGGGCGUAAAGCGCGCGCAGGCGGUCCCUUAAGUCCGAUGUGAAAGCCCACGGCUCAACCGUGGAGG